CGCCUCCGCAGUGGCGCAGGACCACAACUCCCACAAGGCCGCGCGCCCGGGGCGUGUCGGUGGGUGCGGGCCUAGGCGAAGGGGUGGGGCCGUGACACAAAGGAGGUCUUGGCGCCUAGCGGCUCGCGUCUCCACGGGGCUUCCAGGAGCUGGGGAGCUUUCCUGUUGCCGGGCUGGUGUCUGUUCCUCUGAUCCGUGGAGUCGUUCACUGUCCGGCAGUCUCGCCUCGGCCGGGCGACCCAUGGACAGCGUGUGCCAGAGUAUUGGCGGAGGAGGUGCAGGGUUGGGGACUGGUUGCGUUGAAGCUGCUGGUGGUCCUCAGCCAACUGGGGAGCCUGUCUGAGGCCCAGGAAGUUACCGAUGCUGGAAGGGGAAGCCCUGGGCCCAGAACCGCCUAGAGCUGGAAGCCAACAGUAACUCUGGGAAAAAACCCAACUGUUAAGGUGGUUUAAUUUUGGCCAAGAAGAUGAACAGGAAAGACAGCCAAAUCAUUGUUGUUGACCUGUGCUGAAACUUUACAUCUGUCCUUCGUAAUUCUUGCCUGUCAUUCGUAGCUUUUAUCCUUUUAUCCCUUCUGCGAGAAUUCGCUCGAGAAAUCCCUUUGAUAUUCCCUCUCUCAAAUUUGGUCGUUAGCCCAUUCUGUCAUCAGCGCAUGUCUUGAAAGGUUUCUUAUUUUAGUCACUUUAUUUCCAAGACCUCUGGUUCUUUUCAUAACUGCCCGCUCUCACUUUAUGAUUGAUGUGAUAUUCUUGAGUAUCCCUAUGAUUAUUUUAAUUAUAGUGAUUUUAAUAUCCUGAUCACUUUUUUAAAAAGCUUCUUCAGGUGCAAAUUGUUAAAAAAGAAAAAUAGUAUGUUAACAUUGUUCUGCUUUCCAUGGUUUGGUUUUGCUGAAAUGUUUGUUAUUGCUCGUGUUAAUGUCAUACUCAUUUUUUUGUACCUAAGAUUCUCUGUUUUUUUGCUCUCUUUGCAGCAGAAUGAAGAGGAGGGCGCUGCAGGGUUUAUUUAUUUUUUUAAAUAUGAAAAUGAGAAGAGGCAAGAUUUGUAGUCUGGUGCUACCUGGAGGCCCCCCACUCCUCCUGAAUCUGAUAAUCAUCCAUAUUUUGCUUGUUUCUCUUACCCAAGCUCCCAUACUCCACUUGCAGCUGGAAGCAGGGAUCCCAUAUCUGCUUCCUGAGAAGUUGUAUUUGCUGAGGUUUUAUUUGUCUGCUCAGGCAAACAUAACAAAAUACCACAGACUAGGUAUCUUAAACAACAGAAAUCUAUUUUCUCAGAGUGCUGAAUCCUAGAAGUCCAAGACCAAAGUGCCAGCAGGGUUGGAUCUGGUGAGGCCUCUCUUCUUGGCUCUUAGACAGCUGUCCUUUUGCUGUAUUCUCACAUGGCCUCUUGUGUGGCACUCAGGGGGAAGAUACAGGGAGAGAGCUCUGGUGUCUCCUCCACUUCUUAAAGAGACACCAGUCCUAUCAGAUUAGGGGCCCAUCCCUGGGACCUCAUUUAAUCUUCAUUACUUCUGUAGAGGCCUUAUCUCCAAAUACAGUCACAUUGGGGAUUAGGACUUAACAUAUACCUUUUGAGGGACACACUUCAGUCCAUAACAAUCAGUAUAGGAGAAAAACGAUGGAGUGAAUUCUAGAGUAGUCACACUGAUGUUGGGAGUGCAAGGUGAGCCGCUGUAAAAAAGGUACCUCUCAAGUCGAAGUAGGAUGUUAGUACUGGAGGCUAAAGGAAAGUCCCACAUCUUUGACAGAUGAUUGAGUCUUUGGCAGAGAAAACCCAGAACAUGGUCAGUUACAGUCUUUUGUAUCUGCCAGCCAUUGCUUCCAGCUAGUGGCGAUUCUGAAGUGAAUAUCUAUCACAACCUAAAUUACUGCAUGGAAUCAGGAAUUUGAAGUUGAAAAGCAGCACUCCCAAAACCCGAAAAGUACGGUGCUGUCAUGUAAAAUAAAGAGUACUGCCCCAGGAGACAGGAGAUCUGAUAUGUCUCCUUUGUUCUGCUGCUAACCAGAUGAAUUCAAUAUGAUGAUAAAUGGAGCACUGGUGCUGAACUCCAGACCUAGGGUUAAAGAGUUGAAAAAGGGAGACUCGAGGAGCUAUCCUCACCGUAAGAGAUUGAGAUGCCUGCCCACUGCUGAGCCCUCUGGUGCAACGUGGCCGAUGUAAUCUGGGCCCUUUUAAUCUAAUAGUGUUCAAUCUAACAGUGUGAUUCUUUGUUGUAUUAAGCCCCCUGGGCCUUGUGGUGGCACAGUGAGAAGAAACGGGGCAGCUGUGACGCGGGGCCCCUGUGGAGGGCACCUCACUAGUAUAAAUAGCAGCAGUUAUCAGUUUUGAAGAGCUUCCUCUACUGGCACUGUGCUUUGACCUGGGUUUAUAGUGCUGAGGCAAAAAUAGAAAUAAAAAUAGACAUGGCUGCA